AUUGAACGCUGGCGGCAGGCCUAACACAUGCAAGUCGAACGAGUGGCGGACGGGUGAGUAAUGCCUGGGAAUCUGCCUGAUGGAGGGGGAUAACUACUGGGAACGGUAGCUAAUACCGCAUACCAUCGGAUGUGCCCAGAUGGGAUUAGCUAGUGGGUGGGGUAACGGCUCACCAAGCCGACGAUCCCUAGCUGGUCUGAGAGGAUGACCAGCCACACUGGAACUGAGACACGGCCCAGACUCCUACGGGAGGCAGCAGUGGGGAAUAUUGCACAAUGGGCGCAAGCCUGACGCAGCCAUGCCGCGUGUAUGAAGAAGGCCUUCGGGUUGUAAAGUACUUUCAGUGGGGAGGCGUUACCAACAGAAGAAGCACCGGCUAACACCGUGCCAGCAGCCGCGGUAAUUC
rnacentral:rRNA from 1 species